rnacentral:rRNA from 1 species
GAUCACGCUGGCGGCGUGCCUCAGACAUGCAAGUCGAACGCGAAAGUUCCCUUCGGGGAACAAGUAGAGUGGCGCACGGGUGAGUAACACGUAGGUAAUCUACCUUUGGAUGGGGAAUAACACCGAGAAAUCGGUGCUAAUACCGCAUAAUGCAGCGGCACCUAAUGGUGACAGUUGUUAAAGCGGGGGAUCGUAAGACCUCGCGUCUAAAGAGGAGCCUGCGGCGGAUUAGCUAGUUGGUAAGGUAACGGCUUACCAAGGCGAUGAUCCGUAGCCGGCCUGAGAGGGCGGUCGGCCACACUGACACUGACAUACGGGUCAGACUCCUACGGGAGGCAGCAGUCGGGAAUUUUGGGCAAUGGGCGAAAGCCUGACCCAGCAACGCCGCGUGAAGGAUGAAAUCCCUCGGGAUGUAAACUUCGCAAGAACGGGAAGAAUAAGUUGGUGUGAAUAUCACCAGCGAUGACGG